UACGUAGGGGGCAAGCGUUGUCCGGAAUCAUUGGGCGUAAAGCGCGCGUAGGCGGCCCUGUAAGUCCGUUGUGAAAGUCAAAGGCUCAACCUUUGAAAGCCGAUGGAUACUGCAGGGCUAGAGUCCGGAAGAGGCGAGUGGAAUUCCUGGUGGUAGCGGUGGAAUGCGCAGAUAUCAGGAGGAACACCAAUAGCGAAGGCAGCUCGCUGGGACGGUACUGACGCUAAGGCGCGAAAGCGUGGGGAGCGAACAGG
rnacentral:rRNA from 1 species